AGAUUGUACGGCAAAACGA
rnacentral:tRNA from 1 species